GACGAACGCUGGCGGCGUGCCUAAUACAUGCAAGUCGAGCGAACAGACGAGGAGCUUGCUGCUUUGACGUUAGCGGCGCACGGGUGAGUAACACGUGGAUAAUCUACCUAAAAGACUGAGAUAACUUCGGAAAACCGGAUCUAAUAGCAGAUAAUAUAUUGCACCGCAUGGUUCAAUAGUGAAUUACGGCUUUGGUGUCACUUAUAGAUGGAUCUGCGCCUGAUUAGCUAGUUGUUAAGGUAACGGCUUACCAAGGCGACGAUGCGUAACCGACCUGAGAGAGUGAUCGGCCGCACUGGAACUGAGACACGGUCCAGACGCCUGCGGGAGGCAGCAGACGGCAAUGUUCCGCAAUGGGCGAAAGCCUGACGGAGCAACGCCACGUGAGUGGUGGAGGUCUUCCGAUCGUAAAGCUCUGUUAUUAGGGAAGAACAAAUGUGUAAGUAGCUAUGCACGUCUUGACGGUACCUAAUCAGAAAGCCACGGCUAACUACGUG
rnacentral:rRNA from 1 species